GGCGGACGGGUGAGUAAUGCUUAGGAAUCUGCCUAUUAGUGGGGGACAACGUCUCGAAAGGGAUGCUAAUACCGCAUACGUCCUACGGGAGAAAGCAGGGACCUUCGGGCCUUGCGCUAAUAGAUGAGCCUAAGUCGGAUUAGCUAGUUGGUGGGGUAAAGGCCUACCAAGGCGACGAUCUGUAGCGGGUCUGAGAGGAUGAUCCGCCACACUGGGACUGAGACACGGCCCAGACUCCUACGGGAGGCAGCAGUGGGGAAUAUUGGACAAUGGGGGGAACCCUGAUCCAGCCAUGCCGCGUGUGUGAAGAAGGCCUUUUGGUUGUAAAGCACUUUAAGCGAGGAGGAGGCUACCGAGACUAAUACUCUAGGAUAGUGGACGUUACUCGCAGAAUAAGCACCGGCUAACUCUGUGCCAGCAGCCGCGGUAAUACAGAGGGUGCGAGCGUUAAUCGGAUUUACUGGGCGUAAAGCGUGCGUAGGCGGCCUAUUAAGUCGGAUGUGAAAUCCCUGAGCUUAACUUAGGAAUUGCAUUCGAUACUGGGAAGCUAGAGUAUGGGAGAGGAUGGUAGAAUUCCAGGUGUAGCGGUGAAAUGCGUAGAGAUCUGGAGGAAUACCGAUGGCGAAGGCAGCCAUCUGGCCUAAUACUGACGCUGAGGUACGAAAGCAUGGGGAGCAAACAGGAUUAGAUACCCUGGUAGUCCAUGCCGUAAACGAUGUCUA
rnacentral:rRNA from 1 species